CCCAGGCCUUGUGCACACCGCCCGUCACAUCAUGAAAGCCGCUUGUACCCGAAGUCGCCCUGAAAAGGCGCCGAAGGUAUGGGUGGUGAUUGGGAUG
rnacentral:rRNA from 1 species